UACGAAGGGGGCUAGCGUUGUUCGGAAUUACUGGGCGUAAAGCGCACGUAGGCGGGUAUUUAAGUCAGGGGUGAAAUCCCAGAGCUCAACUCUGGAACUGCCUUUGAUACUGGGUACCUAGAGUGUGGAGGAGGUGAGUGGAAUUCCGAGUGUAGAGGUGAAAUUCGUAGAUAUUCGGAGGAACACCAGUGGCGAAGGCGGCUCACUGGUCCACUACUGACGCUGAGACGCGAAAGCGUGGGGAGCAAACAGG
rnacentral:rRNA from 1 species